UACGGGGGGAGCAAGCGUUGUUCGGAUUUACUGGGCGUAAAGGGCGCGUAGGCGGUCAGCACAAGUCAGUUGUGAAAUCUCCGGGCUUAACUCGGAAAGGUCAACUGAUACUGUGCGACUAGAGUGCAGAAGGGGCAACUGGAAUUCUCGGUGUAGCGGUGAAAUGCGUAGAUAUCGAGAGGAACACCUGCGGCGAAGGCGGCUCUCUGGGACGUGACUGACGCUGAGACGCGAAAGCGUGGGGAGCGAACAGG
rnacentral:rRNA from 1 species